GCUUCCCAUAAUGACUACACCAUUUUACAUUCCCACCAACAGUGUAUGAGGGCUCCAAUUUCUCUUCCACCUCACUAACACUUGUUAUUCUCUGUUCUUUUGAUAGUGGCCAUCCUAAGGGAUGUAAAGUGUAUCUCAUUGUGGUUUUGAUUUGCAUUUCUUUUAUGAUUGUGAUGCUGAGCAUCUUUUCCUAGAGGAUAGGUAUUUAUAAGAAAAAUGUCUUAUGUGGAAAAAAAUGAGGAAAAAUCAGGGUAGUAAGGUUGAUGGUAAAUCUUAUGCCCAUAGAAACAUAUUCCCUUUCUUUUGAAUAACUUUUUUUCUGACAUUUUUUGGGUUAUACUUGUACUUUUGACCCAGUGUCCCUACUAGAAGCUAAAUUUUGAAUUUGUCAGUCAUACAUUGUUGGGAUUGGAAAAGAUUAGGGAGCUCUUCUAAUGACAAUAUCUCCAUUUUAUAGUAAAAAAAGAAACAAAAAAACAAAAACCCUGAGGAUGAAAAAGUGAAACAAGAGUUCAACUAAAAAGGAAUAUAAGGGGGAAAAUCCUUAAUAUAAGGGGAAAAAGCCUUCUGAUUAUUGAAACUUAAAUUUUAUUCAUUCUAGUUAUGAAAUAGUCCUAUAGGAUCUGAAAAUAGUAGGAAGACCCAGUUUCCCAAACUCUGUAGUUGAGCAUAUUUUGAAUAAUUGCCACAGUUUUCCUGAGUUUUCUGCAAGAUGUUUUGUGCUAUCAUCUCCUCUUCUGUAGUUCUGAUGCAAAUCUUUCAGUGAUGGGCUUUGGAGCUCAGGAACAGAAUACUUUUCUGACUACUCCAUCUGGAAUUUACGCUCCCCAAAUUGCAAUUCUGAGUCUCCAAAUAAAGGUCUUUGUUCUUUUUCAGUUUACCCUCCUUUUCUCAGUUGAUGGUAAGUUUGAUGUUUAUCCCACAAACAGUCACACAUUGUUCCUGGCACUGGGGGUCUCCAAGGAGCGGGUAGUAAGUGGAGCCUUGGUUCUGAUCCUGCUUUGAUAUAUCUGUGACUUUAUUUACUUAUUUAUUAUUAUUAUUUUUAAAAGGUUCAUCCAUUUAUUUGAGUGUGUGCAAGAAGGCAUGCGCACUGGGGGAGGGGUAGGAGGAGAGGGAGAGAGAGAAUCUCAAGCACACUUGUUGGUGAGCUCAGAGCUCAAGGAAGGGCUUGAUCUCAGGACCCUGAGACUGUGACCUGAGUUGAAAUAAAGAGUCGUGUUCAUAACUGACUGAGCCA
rnacentral:lncRNA from 12 species